rnacentral:miRNA from 11 species
UGUGCAUGUGUGUGCAUGUGCAUGUGUGUGCAUGUGUGGUGCAUGUGUGAUGUAUGUGUGUGCAUGUGUGCUAUGAUGU